rnacentral:rRNA from 1 species
CCUACGGGUGGCAGCAGUGGGGAAUAUUGGACAAUGGGGGGAACCCUGAUCCAGCCAUGCCGCGUGUGUGAAGAAGGCCCUCGGGGUGUAAAGCACUUUCAGUGAGGAAGAACGCCUGGUGGUUAAUACCCAUCAGGAAAGACAUCACUCACAGAAGAAGCACCGGCUAACUCCGUGCCAGCAGCCGCGGUAAUACGGAGGGUGCGAGCGUUAAUCGGAAUUACUGGGCGUAAAGCGCGCGUAGGUGGCUUGAUAAGCCGGUUGUGAAAGCCCCGGGCUCAACCUGGGAACGGCAUCCGGAACUGUCAAGCUAGAGUGCAGGAGAGGAAGGUAGAAUUCCCGGUGUAGCGGUGAAAUGCGUAGAGAUCGGGAGGAAUACCAGUGGCGAAGGCGGCCUUCUGGACUGACACUGACACUGAGGUGCGAAAGCGUGGGUAGCAAACAGGAUUAGAUACCCGAGUAGUC